rnacentral:rRNA from 1 species
ACUUGAAUUGAAGAGUUUGAUCAUGGCUCAGAUUGAACGCUGGCGGCAGGCUUAACACAUGCAAGUCGAACGGUAGCAGGAGAAAGCUUGCUUUCUUGCUGACGAGUGGCGGACGGGUGAGUAAUGCUUG